rnacentral:rRNA from 1 species
AACGAACGCUGGCGGCGUGCUUAACACAUGCAAGUCGCGUGCGCAGUUCCUGUAGCAAUACGGGGAUGGGCGCACGGCGCACGGGUGCGUAACACGUGGGCAAUCUGCCCUCCGAUGGGGAUAACCCCGCGAAAGCGGGGCUAAUUCCGCAUAACAUUCCUUGGACUCACGUUCGAGGAUUCAAAGCAGCAAUGCGUCGGAGGAGGAGCCCGCGCCCGAUUAGCUAGUUGGUGAGGUAACGGCUCACCAAGGCAAUGAUCGGUAGCUGGU